CAACCGCCACAACGGCUUCCUGACGUGGCGGGGAUAUCAUAACGGAGCA
rfam:Rhodobacterales bacterium HTCC2654 1099457000270 genomic scaffold, whole genome shotgun sequence.